GAUGAACGCUGGCGGCGUGCUUAACACAUGCAAGUCGAGCGGGGAAGGGUAGCUUGCUACCUAACCUAGCGGCGGACGGGUGAGUAAUGCUUAGGAAUCUGCCAUUUAGUGGGGGACAACAUUCCGAAAGGAAUGCUAAUACCGCAUACGUCCUACGGGAGAAAGCAGGGGAUCUUCGGACCUUGCGCUAAAUGAUGAGCCUAAGUCGGAUUAGCUAGUUGGUGGGGUAAAGGCCUACCAAGGCGACGAUCUGUAGCGGGUCUGAGAGGAUGAUCCGCCACACUGGGACUGAGACACGGCCCAGACUCCUACGGGAGGCAGCAGUGGGGAAUAUUGGACAAUGGGCGGAAGCCUGAUCCAGCCAUGCCGCGUGUGUGAAGAAGGCCUUAUGGUUGUAAAGCACUUUAAGCGAGGAGGAGGCUACUUAGAUUAAUACUCUAGGAUAGUGGACGUUACUCGCAGAAUAAGCACCGGCUAACUCUGUGCCAGCCGCCGCCGUAAUAC
rnacentral:rRNA from 1 species